GAUGAACGCUAGCGGCAGGCCUAAUACAUGCAAGUCGAACGGGUGGUCGCAAGACCACUAGUGGCGCACGGGUGCGUAACGCGUAACCAACCUGCCCCGAUCUGGGGGAUAGCCCGCCGAAAGGCGGAUUAAUACCGCAUAUACCCGCAGCCUGGCAUCAGGCAACGGGGAAAGAUUUAUUGGAUCGGGAUGGGGUUGCGUGACAUUAGCUAGUUGGCGGGGUAAGGGCCCACCAAGGCGACGAUGUCUAGGGGACCUGAGAGGGUGAUCCCCCACACUGGCACUGAGAUACGGGCCAGACUCCGACGGGAGGCAGCAGUAGGGAAUAUUGGGCAAUGGGCGAGAGCCUGACCCAGCCAUGCCGCGUGCCGGAUGAAGGCCUUCUGGGUUGUAAACGGCUUUUCUCAGGGAAGAAAAAGACCUUGCGAGGUACACUGACGGUACCUGAGGAAUAAGCACCGGCUAACUCCGUG
rnacentral:rRNA from 1 species